UCACUUUUUCAAAGUAGUCAU
ensembl:piRNA 21ur-12358 ncRNA